GGAAGGAUCAUUAUUGAAUGAACUUGGUGUGGUUGUUGCUGGCCCUCUCGGGGGCAUGUGCACACCCGCCAUCCUCAUCUCUCCACCUGUGCACCUCUUGUAGACCUGGAUUGACUUUCCGAGGCAACUCGGUCGGGAAGAUUGCUGCGCUCUGUGAGCCAGCUUUCUUUGCAUGUCCAGGCCUAUGUUUUUCAUAUACCCCUAUAGAAUGUAACAGAAUGUAUCAUUGGGCCUUGUGCCUAUAAACCUUAUACAACUUUCAGCAACGGAUCUCUUGGCUCUCGCAUCGAUGAAGAACGCAGCGAAAUGCGAUAAGUAAUGUGAAUUGCAGAAUUCAGUGAAUCAUCGAAUCUUUGAACGCACCUUGCGCUCCUUGGUAUUCCGAGGAGCAUGCCUGUUUGAGUGUCAUUAAAUUCUCAACCUUAUUAGCUUUUGUUGAUAAUGGAUUGGAUGUGGGGGUUUCUUUUGCUGGCUUCUUCACAGAGAUCAGCUCCCCUUAAAUGCAUUAGCUGGUGCCCCGCGUGGACCAUCUAUUGGUGUGAUAAUUAUCUACGCCGUGGAUGUCUGCAAUC
rnacentral:sRNA from 1 species